AGCCAAAAGAAGUCCAAUCACUGGCAGCUUGGUGAUGCUAUUUGGGAUGAGUCAGUGUGAAUCUUCCCUGAGAGGAUGAGCUGGACCAGCUGGGGUGUAUUCUCAGGCAGAGGAAGGAUGAAGGAGGUACUUUGUUUUAAAAGGGAGACUUACAUCAUGAAGUCAACACAGAAAAAGGUGACCAGAAUACUGAGAAAUUCCCAGAGCAUUUGUAUUUGGAAAGGCUAAGAGUGGCUAAGCUGAGUGGUCAUACCAGGAAGAGAACCAGAACCCUGGGGCCCAUCAUCCCCAGCCUUUCUCAUGGCCACCAAAGCUCUAGCAAAAGGAUCGGAAGCCAAGGACUCCUGGGAGAGCAAAGGACCCUCACCCUCAGCCCCUCCCAUUUCUGUGCUUUCAAAUCCUGUUUGUGGCAUUUCCCCAGUGGCUGACCCCCAUGUGAUUGAUAAUGACAAAAAAAGACUUUUUAUAAGAUAUAAAGUCCAUGUAAUUUCAACCUGGGUCUCACUGCUGGCAGUGGAUUUAGGUGGACAUUUCCAGUCAGUUUUGUCACCUGUGAGCUGGAAAAUUACAGCGUGGGUUUAGGUCAUUGGUGUUGGGUCAAAAUCCUCUUUGAAAUCUUUUGCAUGUGAAACCUGGUCUGUUUUGCUUGGACUGUGUGAUCUUUCUUCAACUUGCUUUGGCUGAUGAUAAAUAAUGCAGUGUUUUAGAGCAAAGGAAACUAAAAAAUAAAUAUUUUUU